rnacentral:lncRNA from 1 species
UCUCUCUUCCUGUCUGUCUGUCUGUCUGUCUGUCUGUCUGUCUGUUCUGUUCUGUCUGUCUUGUCUCUCUCUCUCUCUCCCUCUCUCUGUCCCUGUCUCUCUCUGUCCCUGUCUCUCUCUCUCUCUGUCUCUCUGUCUGUCUCUCUCUCCCUCUCUCUGUCCCUGUCUCUCUGUCUGUCUCUCUCUCUCUCUUCCUGUCUGUCUGUCUGUCUGUCUGUCUGUCUGUCUGUCUGUCUGUCUGUCUGUCUGUCUGUCUCUCUCUCUCUCUCUCUCUGUGUCUCUGUGUCUGUCUGUCUCUCUCUCUCUCCCUCUCUCUCUCUCUCCCUCUCCCUCUGUGUCUCUCUAACGUGUUGACAAUGUAGGUAGGCGACUCCACACAUCACCAUGACCAGCGUCAACUCUCCAGCCUGUCUGCUUGCCCGUAACCACUUCUACAGAAACUUCUGCCCCAGUCCGGAGCAGAUGAAGCCUGUGUUCAGCUGUGAGAACAGACACAAUCAGAGACAGGUCACCCUCUGGGUCACCAGGGGAACGUGUCCAGGAUUCCCAGGGGGCAUUGGCACCAAAGGAUUAUGGGUGAACAUUGUCCUGGGCUCUUCUUCUUCUCCUCCUCACUUCUCCACCUCCAAACCAUCGAGCACUGCUGACCGGGGCGUCAAGUAGAAGGAAACAAGCGCACCUCAAAUGGUUUAUAGACAGAAAGGAAGUUAAGAAAUCAGGACCCCCUAACUUCCCCAUUUCUCUGCACGGCUGGCUGCUCCGGAGCGGACACUUAAAUAUCCCUGUGGACAAAGUGCCUGACAUUUAAUAUCCAAGCAAUUUUAUGAAAUUGGAGUCAAAAGUUGCCAAAUGUCAUCACAAAAUUGGAUUAUGACAAAGACAUUUUCAACUACUUGCAGCUCUUUUAUAGAGAAAAAGGUUCCUCCACACAUCCGACAGUCCGAAACUAUUACAACAUUCAAGUCACAUCUCAAAACUCACUUAUUCAAAUUGGCCUACUCUCUGUAGUAAGGAUAAUAACAUAUGUUAUGAUUCCAGGCCCCGAUCCACAGACAUAUUAUCAUCUCUGAAUAAACCUGCAGAGUGUUUCAGUCACAGGGACGUCUCUGCUUAAGUUCUUGUUUUUACUCUUAGAAAGUUAUGAGCACAUUUCCUCUUCCACAGUUGCAGCAGAAACAGUUUCCUCAAAUGUGUACUCGGAGUUUCAUUUGAUUUAUGAAAGUGUUGAAAGUGAUGACAGGGACACAGAAUAUUUCACGUAUUGCUGCAUCAGCCAAAUGUGUGAGUCAUUCAUAAAUAAAGCAGAAACACUAAAUAUUCUUCUACAUGUGAGGAUUUGCUGCUUUUCUCUGUUUGCACUGCUGGUUGGAUAGAAAACAGAAUUUGAAGACAUCACCUUGGACUGAACUUUUCCCUUUUUUCAUCUUUAUAUACUUAUAGAACAUAUAUAUACUUAUAUAUAUAUCCAACAAUCAAUUUAUCAAAGACAUAAAUUAGAUUGACAGGGCGAAUCAUCAUCAGCCUUAUUCUUCAUCCUGACUGCACCCAGGAAGUUAAAGACGAGGUGGAGAUCCAGACAGAGAAGAGAGAAGUUCUGCUCCUUCACUCCCACUUUUCAAAGACCCGGUGAACUGGAAAAACUGCAGCGUGGCACGACGAACGAGCCGCAGAACAAACCCUCUG